UAGUAAUCGCGAAUCAGAAUGUCGCGGUGAAUACGUUCCCGGGCCUUGUACACACCGCCCGUCACACCAUGAGAGUCGAUAACACCCGAAGCCUGUGAGCUAACCUUUAGGAGGCAGCAGUCGAAGGUGGGGUUGAUGAUUGGGGUGAAGUCGUAACAAGGUAUC
rnacentral:rRNA from 1 species